rnacentral:rRNA from 1 species
UGGGGGAUAUUGCACAAUGGAGGAAACUCUGAUGCAGCAACGCCGCGUGAGGGAAGACGGUUUUCGGAUUGUAAACCUCUGUCCUUAGGGAAGAUUAUGACGGUACCUAAGGAGGAAGCUCCGGCUAACUACGUGCCAGCAGCCGCGGUAAUACGUAGGGAGCAAGCGUUGUCCGGAUUUACUGGGUGUAAAGGGUGCGUAGGCGGCUUAGCAAGUCAGGCGUGAAAUAUAUGGGCUUAACCCAUAGACUGCGUUUGAAACUGUUGAGCUUGAGUGAAGUAGAGGUAGGCGGAAUUCCCGGUGUAGCGGUGAAAUGCGUAGAGAUCGGGAGGAACACCAGUGGCGAAGGCGGCCUACUGGGCUUUAACUGACGCUGAGGCACGAAAGCAUGGGUAGCAAACA